UGGUGUGUGUGUGUGUGUGUGUGUGUGUGUGUACCACUCUUCUGUAUGUUUUGGGCUGGAAGGAGGUUUGGCGCGGCACUGCAGGCCCACAGCUUCCGCGAGCGGGCUGCAUCUGGGAGGGCCUUGCAUGUUAACCCUUGGCCCCAGCCCAUGCGUUCGGGGGAGCCCGCCCGAGGCUUUGGUCCAAAGUCCUGCCAGAUAAGAGACACAGGAGUGAACCUAGAAUUCCUCGUCCAUGGUGCAAACCCAGAUGAAGGACGAGAGCCCACGGCGCUGAGCGUGCCCGUGGCGCCAGGCCUUCCCGGCUUCCAUCACUUCAUGUCCCUUCAUGCAGCUCGGCCAGCAUUUGUUGGGAACUGUACCUGAUGCUGUGAGGAGGGCAGUCAGGCCAAGCGAACGGAAACGCUGACUUCAUGGUGGAGGUAACCGACCACACAUAAGACAACACAUUUGAAACUGCAGUGAUGCCCCUUCGUAAAUGUUAGCACUUGCCUGACAGAAAAAAAAUCGGCAGGAAUACCCAUGCUCCUCAUGGGGAGAGACCUGCAGGGGACCCAGGAGCCCUGGAAGGGUGACAGCAAGGACCCUUUUGUCAGGCAAGACCAUAAUGAGUAUCAGAGUCUGGAUCAGAAAGCACGGUGGCUUCUGAGGUCCUGGGGGUGGGCGAGCAGCUAGUUCGCAAGUGCCCUUAGUGACCUGCGUGCCCGCCAGUGGCUCCAGCUGCCAGCCGUGCAGGAAACGGUACCAGCUUCAUCCAAUAUGCCAAGAUUAUCCAGGUCUGGCUGGUAAAACACCCGAGCCAAGAUGUGCAGAUGUGCCCUCGGGCCAGAUUUGCUUCACCCGGAGGGGCCAGUGCUCUCUUCCAGUGGAUGGUAGGGCACUCUGGGCCACUGAAGGGCUGUCCAUACAAGGACACUGCAGGGUGUCAAUCAAGAGGCUUUCUUCCUCGUCGGAGCAGGGCUAGCUAGCUCCCAUGAAAGACAAAAGCCAAAGCUUGCCCCUUCCACCUCCGUGGCUGUCCCUGGGGAGUCAGACAGGCUGAAGGGAUUUUAUCAACUGAGGGCGUUGUUUCUCAAGCUCAUGCCACCGAACACCCUCCUCUCCUCAAUGCGCCCCUCUCCCCUUUGAGCAGCUGGCAAUACAAACAUUUGCUUAGCUUCCCGUUCAUUAAAAAUUAACGAAUCUUAUGUCAUAUCUUACCCCUUUACAACACCUUCAAGUGACGAAUUUGCAGGCCUGACAACCCCGGGAGAUGGGUGACCCACCAAGUUUUGUCACUUUGGCUGUACUCACACCGCUCAGCAGAUGGCACAGUCAGGCAUUAACUCCCGUGCGUGUAUUUUGUCACCCCUUUCCUCCACUUACACAAUGAGGAGGGUUGCUGUCCGCCUUGUACGCCAUCAUACACCCAGCACCUAGAAAGAGGCCCGGCCUGUAGCAGGCGGCCAGUAACUACGAGUGCAAUGGGCUGACUAUUGAGACGUAUUUUACAGAUGAGCCCUGAGACUCAGCCAGGUUGAUCCACCCAGGUGUUAAAGGGUUGAGACGCAAAGGGACACCCCGAGUUUCCUCGGGGACUCCCGCUGGGAUACUGCCCACCUUUGGGUGGCAUAAAUAGGCAAACACACCUGGCGAGGCUAGCCUAACAGUGCACGCUUGCUAACUCGGGGCUCGUUUUCAGUUGAGGGCACUAAAACGAUAGCACGAGAAGAGGGGGGGCACUGGCCAGAGUCAAGAGGGAAGCCGAGGGACGCAAGCCCGGGGCCACAGAGAUGGGCUGGUGCGCGACUGUCAGGUGCAGAAGGACAGACUGUGGUGCCUGUUAGCACACGCUGGCGCACGCUGGCCUCCUGCGAUCUCUCGUCUCACGUCUACCUGUGGCUCCGCACAGCUCUUCCCACUCCGCCCCCACCCUGAGCUUCUCCAGCCGAGUGGCUUCCCUUCUCCCAGCUUCGCCUUCCCACAUAACCCAGCCACUUCAGGUAACACUCUCUCUUUCGGUUCCCCUCUCAGUCUCUUCUCUCUGGGUCCUCUCCUCUCCUCCUCUCACCCCAUCGCCAUCGCCCUUCCCAAGGCCCGCUCCAGCCUGCUGGCCAUGUUCGAUCCACUACUUUCUCUCUCUGUUCAGGACUUUUCCAGAUAUCUCUGGCUGUAGUCUCCCUUGUAUCUACAAACCAAACCAAACCAAACCAAACCAAAACAAAACAAAACAAAACCCUUCCCCUCGGCCAUACCUUGGAGCAGUCAGACCUCCGGUUCAUACAUCUGGUGUCCAAACGCUCAGUUUAUACAGUAAUGCCCUGAGUGCAGGUGUAACAUGAAAAAUAAGAACCUAGAGACAGAUACUGGGGUUCAAGCUUCAAGCUGAAGAUCACAAAAGCAAAGCAGCCGGCCACCAGCUCUUACCUCUACCCCAGGCUGAAAUGGCUGAUCCUGUCUCUAUGAGCUCUCACCAAGCCUCUGACUGCUGCCUCUCCUUACCGUGGCUGGAGAAUCAAUUCUUCCUGUCCUCAAUGUGGCUGGAGAAUGGAUGCCAGCUCUGAGACCCUGUUCCUGUCUUAAAUAUCUUUCGUGAGUCCUGGGAUUAAAGGCGUGUGAUCCUGAAUUGCUGAGAUCACCUGUGUGUGAGCUGCUUCUCUUUAGGACUGGAUCAACUUCAUGUAGCUCAGUGUGGCCUUGAACUAACAGAGAUCCGUCUACCUCUUAAUUCUGAGUCCUGGGAUUAAAGGUGUGUGCCUGCCUUCUAUGGCUUUUGGCUGACUUUGCUUCCUGAAUCCUCAGGAAAACUUUAAUAAAUCAUAAAUGAUAUAUCAUCACA